rnacentral:rRNA from 1 species
UGGGGAAUUUUGGACAAUGGGCGAAAGCCUGAUCCAGCAAUGCCGCGUGUGUGAAGAAGGCCUUCGGGUUGUAAAGCACUUUUGUCCGGAAAGAAAUCCUUGGCUCUAAUACAGUCGGGGGAUGACGGUACCGGAAGAAUAAGCACCGGCUAACUACGUGCCAGCAGCCGCGGUAAUACGUAGGGUGCAAGCGUUAAUCGGAAUUACUGGGCGUAAAGCGUGCGCAGGCGGUUUGCUAAGACCGAUGUGAAAUCCCCGGGCUCAACCUGGGAACUGCAUUGGUGACUGGCAGGCUAGAGUAUGGCAGAAGGGGGUAGAAUUCCACGUGUAGCAGUGAAAUGCGUAGAGAUGUGGAGGAAUACCGAUGGCGAAGGCAGCCCCCUGGGCCAAUACUGACGCUCAUGCACGAAAGCGUGGGGAGCAAACAGGAUUAGAUACCCUGGUAGUCCACGCCCUAAACGAUGUCAACUAGUUGUUGGGGAUUCAUUUCCUUAGUAACGUAGCUAACGCGUGAAGUUGACCGCCU